rnacentral:lncRNA from 1 species
GGAAAUAGUUGUAGGGGAGGAAAAAUUGUUUCCUUCUAGCCUUUUAGGUCAUUUGGCUGGUCUACAAAUUAAAUUGAUGUAAGACAGAGGAACAUGAGAAAAACGAUUUGUCGACCGAAAGGUGAAAUAACAGUCUGGAAUUUUGCCGCUUCUUGGUUGACAGAAUCCAAGGGUAUAUUGUCACAGAGAAGACUCCAGCCUGAUGUCUAUGGGACCUGAGUCCACACUGUGGAGGGCACAAGCUGUGGGAGGGCCUGGAAGACACGCCUCAGAGAUUCUCCCAGUCCUGCCACCCUGUGGGAGACACUUCAAAGGAAUCGUAAACUCAUGUGACCAGCAGGGAGGACAACGAUGAAGAAACUUUCCUGCCUAAAAUCAGCUGCUGUCCAGAGCUAGCACCUGGAAGGAGACACUCCCUCUCCUGGGGUCACAUCUUCACUGCAAGGCGGGUGGGAGCUCACUGCUGUGACCCACAUAUACUCCUCUCUCGGCGUCUCUAUCCUGCUGCUUUCUCUGACUGCAUCUUCCUCUGUUCCUUGGUCAGUGUUUGAGAAGAGAAUGUUGAACAAGUCACAUCCUUGUCACUCUGAGUCAGAACCCUCAUUUGACUUGGAAGAUUUGUGCUUCCGUUUUUUCUUCUUUUUCUUUUCUUUCUUCCUUUUCUUAUGCUUUUCUUUCUUCUUCUUUUUCUUGUGUUUCUCUUUACCUUCAGAGGAACUGGAGCUGCUCCUAUCUUCAUCUGAGGUAGAAUCCUCCAGUAACUGUUUUAACUGCUGUAUCCUAAACAUUCAAAAUUGAUCAAAGAACAGUGAGUUUUAGCUUUAACUUACAACAGUUGCUUAGAUAAAUAUGUCAUUCAAAAGCAGUAUAGGAUGAUGAAUAACCAUGUCACAAAGACAGUAUUUUUAUUUUUACCUGUUUUCUCAUUCUUCUCCACCUGAAUGCCUACUUU